GGGGAUGUGGUCCAAUGGAAAGAUACUGGGUUCCAAGUCGAUGCAGGCGAAAGCUCGUAGCGGCUUGGUAUCUAGUGAUGCCUGUUCGACUCCGGCCUUCUCCA